ACGACUCUCGGCAACGGAUAUCUCGGCUCUCGCAUCGAUGAAGAACGCAGCAAAAUGCGAUACUUGGUGUGAAUUGCAGAAUCCCGUGAACCAUCGAGUUUUUGAACGCAAGUUGCGCCCGAAGCCAUUAUGCUGAGGGCACGUCUGCCUGGGCGUCACGC
rnacentral:rRNA from 15 species